UAGGGUGCGGUGGGGUGUUGGGGUGUAACCCCGGCAUCCUGGCCAAAUUUGCCCUGUGGCCUCUGUCCAUCAUGGCCUCCUAAUCAUCCCCAUAUACUGAUUGGCUUCAUCACUGUCUCCUCUCCACCAGUAAGCUGGUGUGUGGUGGCGUACUGGCGCAAUAUGGCUGCCGUCGCAUCAUCCAGGUGGAUGCUGCACAUUGGUGGUGGUUGAGGAGAUUCCCCCUUCAAUGUAAAGCGCUUUGAGUACCCAGAAAAGCACUAUAUAAAUGUAAUGAAUUAUUAUUAUUAUUAUUAGGGUAAUUAUUGGUGGUUCUGAUAACUGUUACCAUAGCUUGGUAACUAUGAAACUCAAAGGAACUCAUUAGUCAAGCAGAUUCUCUAAUAAGUAAAUUAAUUACUUAAAUAGAAUUUAAAGGGGACCUAUUAUGCUAAUUUCCAGUUCUAUAUUUUUAUUCUGAUACUCCACUAGAGUAGCUUUGCAUGAUCCUAUAAAAGUCCUUAUUUAUCUUAAACUGGUCCUUUAUGCAGACCCUGUCUGAAACAGGUCAUUUUAGAUGGAGUAUUCUAUAAGCCUACUAUGAUUACUAUUUUCCAAUGAGCCUGCAUGUGAUGUAAAAUCUGGAGCCAAAUUAAACAGCGUGUUUGCACACACAUCAACUGAGAGGAUGGUCUUUUCUCAUAUUUCAGGGGUGUCUAGACACACCAGGGAUACAUAUUUAUGUUGAAAAGACAUCACAAAGUGCAUUUUGUCUAAUUAUUGUAAAUGUGUUUUUUUUUUCUUUUUCUGAGUGGAUAUAUGGCUGGACUGUAAUCUUAUAUCCCACAGGGGGACCAAGGCAUAUGCCUGAAAGGAAAAGGCACCAAAAGAGGCAAAGCAGAAAUGCUGGUUGACUGGGAGUCCUGUCCAGUAUGUGGUGAGCAGUGGGCCCAGUCCUGGCAGCCAAAGGAUUCACUCCAAAAUAAUGAAAAUAAAUAAAAUGUAUAUUUAUAACUCCAUUUUGGUUUCAGGCUAUUUAUUAAAUUGUUUCUGUGCUGCAUUUGAAGUCAUAUCUCAUCUUUCUGUAGUAUUGAAAAGGGGAACAUCUCCAAGAAUAUGACCUGGAAUUUAAUCUCGAAAGGGAAUGUACUAGAAAUGUACUUAAUCCAACUGAUUUUUCUAUUUCAGAUGUUAUUCAAAAGCAUGUUUCAUAUUUCAUGAUUAUAAAUUGCACUGUUUUCUGUGCUUUUCAAGUUCACUUAACCUCACAGUCCACUGUUAAGAAAUACAGCCUUAUGGCUUGUUUGACAUGAAGCUAAAAUAUGAAGUUCAACAAAUAAGACUGUCCUUCUUUAUACUCGCACAUUAUAUCAUAUCUUUUACAUUGUGUCUCUCUCACUCUCUUCUACUCCAAACUCAUCAGCUGACUGGGUGUUUUAUGUCUUAAACCAAAUGUAUUUUCAUCUCAACCCUCUUGAGCCAAUCGUGUCAUACAGUAGGUCCCUCCACUGUGCUCAUCAGGAGAAGAGCUCCACAUUCAUCUAGAUCUCAGCAUUGCUACUCACCCCUUCACCACCACCAGUGUCGGCUCCAUGUAGGGGAUAUCCCUUUUCAUAUCAUGCAUUUCUCUUAAAAGAAUGAUGUCUUGAUGUGGUCCAAUUGCCAAAGACUAUAUAGUUUCAAUUUGUUAUGCACCUUGUCAAUAAAUUUGUUUGA